CCUGAACCUAGUUGAUUAAGUACACCUAAAUUUAGUCUCGAAGAUUUUUAUCGCUUUACCAUAGUAAAUCUUUAAAUUAAUUAUAAGAAACAUAACCAGUAGUUUAGUUAUUAGUUGUGAUUUGAUUGCUGUAUAAUGACGGACAACUAUGAAAGAAAGAAGCUUAUUAUUCUAACUGGGAAAUAAGCCACAAUUUAAAGCUGGAACAGAAUGAUAUAAUAUAUAUGUAGAUUCAGAACAAUAUUAAGAAAGGAGCUAUUAACCAACUGCGGGGCCUUUCAGAAAUGGUAGAAUUUUAUACAUUGAAUUGAGGAAGUUGGAUUUGCCUCUCCAUCCUUUUAUUGUUGUGUAGAACCCAGUGGUUUAAGAGUGGAGAUAAUAUUUGUAUGUAAUAAUAACGUUUUAUAUCCUGUUUUUAUUAAUGAAGAAUGAUUUUAUCUUAACAAAAUUAUUUAUUUCGCCGUCUGU